AUCCAACGCUUGAAUACAUAAUACUUUUCGGGGUAAGGGGGGGUAGAAGGGCCAGUAUAAAGUAGUUAGUAGUUUGUACAUCCUUGAAGUCGGUACAAUCCUCUCGACAUUAGUAUAAAUUAUUAGGCAACACAAGAAAUUGUGGCCUAGAAGCGUUGGUUCGGAGUGGCUAAAAUGAAUGCCAGCAGCCGCGGCUAGAUUCAUGCUUUGUUAAAUCUUGACGGUUUUAUUAGACGCACGUAGUAGAAUAGCUUUAGUCAGCCUAGAGUAGGGGUGUAAUCUUCUUUCUAACAGCCUGGAUCAGAUGAAGUUAUGAUGUUUCUUAUGAAAGUGUGGGCAAAAACCGGGAUUUGAUACCCCGUUAUUCAUGAGGUAAAAUAGGAUUACCGGAUGACUAAAAGUUGGUUCUUCAAAGUUAAAUGAAUAGGCGGCCUCCAACAAACAUACAGGGGAAUCUGGGAGUUAAAAGAUGGUCCGCUUACAUUUGUUCUUUAUCUUAUUUUGCAUAUGUAUGGUUGUUUAUGAAUCAAUGUGCGUAAGAUAUUGGUGAAGUUUUUAUUGUCUUAGGGCAGUAAGAAGUAAUUCAGAUUAACAUGUAGCUAUGAUAAAGCCAUUCUGGAUGACAAUUGGGAAAUCACUUACAUGCUUAAUAAUGGGCGUGUAGCGUCGGCCAAGAGGUUUGAAAAUUUUCUUGAAAGAAGGACUUGUGAGUAAGUUUAUUAAAUAAUAUUAAACUGAAAAGGACACUGGAGGAGUACUAAUCGCCCGUCGCUCACGGAGAGAUCUGAGAUAAGUCGUAACAAGGUAACGGUACCGGAAGGUGCCGUUAAUUAGAAAAUAG
rnacentral:rRNA from 1 species